GAUGAAGAACGCAGCGAAAUGCGAUAAGUAAUGCGAAUUGCAGAAUUCCAGUGAGUCAUCGAAUCUUUGAACGCACAUUGCGCCCUUUGGUACUCCGAAGGGCAUGCCUGUUCGAGCGUCAUUAUCACCCCUCAAGCCCUCGGCUUGGUGUUGGACGGUUUGGUGGAGGCCCCCUCGGGGGCUCCUGCCCCUCCCAAAGACAAUGACGGCGGCCUCGUUGGACCCCCGGUACACUGAGUUCUUCACGGGACACGUAUCGGACACAUGGGUUUACGGGACACGGUCUGCCUCCCCUCAGGGAGAAUCUUUCUAAGGUUGACCUCGGAUCAGGUAGGGAUACCCGCUGAACUUAAGCAUAUCAAUAAGCGGAGGA
rnacentral:misc_RNA from 1 species